rnacentral:rRNA from 1 species
AGUGAACGCUGGCGGUAGGCCUAACACAUGCAAGUCGAACAGCAGCACAGUAAGAGCUUGCUCUUACGGGUGGCGAGUGGCGGACGGGUGAGGAAUACAUCGGAAUCUGCUUUUUCGUGGGGGAUAACGUAGGGAAACUUACGCUAAUACCGCAUACGACCUACGGGUGAAAGCAGGGGAUCUUCGGACCUUGCGCGAUUGAAUGAGCCGAUGUCGGAUUAGCUAGUUGGCGGGGUAAAGGCCCACCAAGGCGACGAUCCGUAGCUGGUCUGAGAGGAUGAUCAGCCACACUGGAACUGAGACACGGUCCAGACUCCUACGGGAGGCAGCAGUGGGGAAUAUUGGACAAUGGGCGCAAGCCUGAUCCAGCCAUACCGCGUGGGUGAAGAAGGCCUUCGGGUUGUAAAGCCCUUUUGUUGGGAAAGAAAAGCAGCAGGUUAAUACCCCGCUGUUCUGACGGUACCCAAAGAAUAAGCACCGGCUAACUUCGUG